rnacentral:tRNA from 1 species
GGGGUGCGGGCUUCAAACCCGUGGGUCUUUCAUUAGACAGGUGUUCGAUUCACCCUCUCUUCC